GACGAACGCUGGCGGCGUGCUUAACACAUGCAAGUCGAGCGGAAAGGCCCUUCGGGGUACUCGAGCGGCGAACGGGUGAGUAACACGUGAGUAACCUGCCCCAGACUUUGGGAUAACCCUCGGAAACGGGGGCCAAUACCGGAUACGACACAGCUUCGCAUGGGGUCUGUGUGGAAAGUUUUUCGGUUUGGGAUGGGCUCGCGGCCUAUCAGCUUGUUGGUGGGGUGAUGGCCUACCAAGGCGACGACGGGUAGCCGGCCUGAGAGGGCGACCGGCCACACUGGGACUGAGACACGGCCCAGACUCCUACGGGAGGCAGCAGUGGGGAAUAUUGCACAAUGGGCGGAAGCCUGAUGCAGCGACGCCGCGUGAGGGAUGACGGCCUUCGGGUUGUAAACCUCUUUCAGCAGGGACGAAGCGUAAGUGACGGUACCUGCAGAAGAAGCGCCGGCCAACUACGUG
rnacentral:rRNA from 1 species